rnacentral:rRNA from 1 species
ACACACAGGUGGUGCAUGGUUGUCGUCAGCUCGUGUCGUGAGAUGUUGGGUUAAGUCCCGCAACGAGCGCAACCCUUGUCAUUAGUUGCUACAUUCAGUUGGGCACUCUAAUGAGACUGCCGGUGACAAACCGGAGGAAGGUGGGGAUGACGUCAAGUCCUCAUGGCCCUUAUAGGUGGGGCUACACACGUCAUACAAUGGCCGGUACAAAGGGUCGCAAACCCGCGAGGGGGGAGCCAAUCCAUCAAAGCCGGUCGUAGUCCGGAUCGCAGUCUGCAACUCGACUGCGUGAAGUCGGAAUCGCUAGUAAUCGUGGAUCAGCAUGUCACGGUGAAUACGUUCCCGGGUCUU